CCUACGGGAGGCAGCAGUAGGGAAUCUUCCACAAUGGACGAAAGUCUGAUGGAGCAACGCCGCGUGAGCGAUGAAGGCCUUCGGGUCGUAAAGCUCUGUUGUUAGGGAAGAACAAGUACCGGAGUAACUGCCGGUACCUUGACGGUACCUAACCAGAAAGCCACGGCUAACUACGUGCCAGCAGCCGCGGUAAUACGUAGGUGGCAAGCGUUGUCCGGAAUUAUUGGGCGUAAAGCGCGCGCAGGCGGUCUUUUAAGUCUGAUGUGAAAGCCCACGGCUCAACCGUGGAGGGUCAUUGGAAACUGGGAGACUUGAGUGCAGAAGAGGAAAGCGGAAUUCCACGUGUAGCGGUGAAAUGCGUAGAGAUGUGGAGGAACACCAGUGGCGAAGGCGGCUUUCUGGUCUGUAACUGACGCUGAGGCGCGAAAGCGUGGGGAGCAAACAGGAUUAGAUACCCUGGUAGUCCACGCCGUAAACGAUGAGUGCUAAGUGUUAGGGGGUUUCCGCCCCUUAGUGCUGCAGCUAACGCAUUAAGCACUCCGCCUGGGGAGUACGGCCGCAAGGCUGAAACUCAAAGGAAUUGACGG
rnacentral:rRNA from 1 species